CUUGUUGUGUUCCUUGUUGCCAACAUCGUGCUCUACGUGCAUGCACAGAAGAACCUACCUCCAAAGAAGAAGAAGCCAGUUUCUAAAAAGAAGCUCAAGCGGGAGAAGCUGAAGCAAGGAGUCUCCGUGCCGGGAGAAUAAAACCCACCUUAGCCACAUUUAUGCCUUGUCUAAAGCUGAAUAAAAGGUUUAUAAAUCGCUCAUCAAAUUUUACCCUUUUGUGGGUUUUCUUUUUCUUUUACUCCUGUUAUGAGGAUUGUCUUAAGUUCUGUAUGAUUUCACUUGGAGGAUAAGUAGAGUCUGUUUAGCUUUGCCUGCACACACGCCUGAUUGCAGCUAUAGAGGCUCUCUCAUCCUCUUUGCAACGGUUUCUCAGCUUCAAUCUUUAUACUAUUUGUUACUUCUAUGGUUUCCUUGUUGGUCGUCAUUAACCUUGCUGUGUAAACUAAUUCAGUCUUUGCCAAACUGAAUAGCAUAUGAGAAAUAAUUGAUGUUUGCGUAUGCUACAAUAAUAAAUAGAUCAAUCAGUAACAUUCUCACUAAAAGUAUGAUGUUAUGAAUAUGUAUAUUCAGAGAAUCAAGACGCCAGGAGAGUCGACCUUUGUUUAUUACUCCUAAAAAUAGAUCAAUUCAUCACACCAUCAUUUGCUAUCAAUUAUUUAUGAGACUUUCAUUCCCAUAUUUUUCAAGUAAUAAGCCUAGCCUCUCCCAGUUUUGUUGUAGAAGUAAGAACAAAGAGUUGUGAUAUUUAAAGAGUCUAGGUCAACAGAGCGUUCUCGAAAACGUAAGAGUCAAGGCUGUUCGCAUUCCUCGUGGUAGUUUUUUCAACUCCACACUGGAAAGUGGAAACCUUAAAAUUCAGUUUUGGUAAUAGGAUCGUCGUGAUAGUUUUUUCUUCUUCUCUGCAUGUUUCUGCUAAUUUGAUUGCAGAGGAAUCUUCAACAAGAUCAUGGAGAAUCAAUUUAAAAAGAUCACUUGGAAAAUGAAUAACGUCUCGUCUUCACAGUUAGUGAGAACUUAUUCGGGUCAAUUCGUAGUUAUAUGAAAAUUCAGGCAAUAAUAUCCUCCACAGUAGUUGUUGUUGAAUUCUUCAUUUAUUUGGGUUUCCUGCAGGCGUCUUUCUGCUUGUCUCACUCCCUGUUUCGAUGGUUUCUUGGCUUUAUAUUUGGAAGUGGUGGAUUAUGGAUCAUUGCCUUCUGGAUGGAGAAGACACGCAAGAUAUGUCCUAUAUCCAUCCACUAAAACAAAAUUCAGAUAAAAGUUUUAAGCAACAUGGUGAUUAUUUCUUCCGACUUCUUCAUUUCCCCAAUUUAUUUUCAACCACAGUAUUAUGAAGACAACAACAUAAUCAUUUUAUGAAAUUCACUUACAACUUACCGGACAUUUUAUUGUUCGAAUGUUACGAAUCUUCCAGCCGUGGAUCUUGUUUGUUUUGCGAGAUUCUUACAUUGAUGUUCGUGUAAGGCUUAUUUUGUGGUAUCCUUGCCAAAGACGGCGGAUUUUUAAUAAACAAGGGGCUCGAAAUCGUUGCCGAAGUAGAGGUUUUGAAGUUGUUGGCAAGUUAGACGUAACAGAGGAAACUUCAAUGUUAAUGGAAACCAUGGAUGUUAAUGGCUUUCAAAUUCCAUCUUCACAGGUUAGAAAUUAAAGAGAGAGAUAAACUUUUUGUUUAGAUAUUACAGCCACAUCAUUAUUUGUUCUAUUUUAUAUUGUGCUAUUGUGUUGUCUCCUUUAAUUGUACUCUGGAUAUGGUUUCUAGUUUAUACUUGUGUUGUGUGUUUUCAUUCCUCAGGUGGAUUCUGUGAGCCAUAUGUUUGAAAGACACCCUGGCAUCUGAAUUUCGUUCAAAGAACACAAAUCUUAGAACAGGCUUCAUGAGUUUGCUACUCAGUCUGAUUGAGACUCUGCACCAGUCCCCUCAUGAGCGUCACAAGGCUGAUCUAGCUGUGGCGUAUGCUGCAUUAGGAUCCAUGACUGAAGCUGGAUUUAAGUUGGAUUCAUUGGUUGGAGAAGAAACUAGAUGAGAUGUCAGAAAAGGAGGAGAAAGAAGAGGCUGGUGAGACUCGGAUGCAAGAAAUUGAGAAUGAGUUGAAAGACUUGAAACUUAAGUGCUCAGAUCUCGAAGCUGAGCUGAAGAAGGAGAAACUAGAGGUUUUGGCUGCGAAAGAACUAAUCUCACUCGAUACGUUAUUUAGUCUUGAGUUCUUAGGCGCUUGGGUUUUUGUUCUGUGGUGUUCUGAUGUGCUUGUUUGUAGUUUUGUUCUUGGUGUUCUCGUACUUGUUCUUGUACUUGGUGUAGUUCGCUUGAUAUUCUUGAAUUUGAAACUGGAGUUUGGCUUUACUUUCUUUAUGUGCUCUGGUCGUUUUGUCUUUCGGUAGCUGAAGCAAGGAGUCUCCGUGCCGGGAGAAUAAAACCCACCUUAGCCACAUUUAUGCCUUGUCUAAAGCUGAAUAAAAGGUUUAUAAAUCGCUCAUCAAAUUUUACCCUUUUGUGGGUUUUCUUUUUCUUUUACUCCUGUUAUGAGGAUUGUCUUAAGUUCUGUAUGAUUUCACUUGGAGGAUAAGUAGAGUCUGUUUAGCUUUGCCUGCACACACGCCUGAUUGCAGCUAUAGAGGCUCUCUCAUCCUCUUUGCAACGGUUUCUCAGCUUCAAUCUUUAUACUAUUUGUUACUUCUAUGGUUUCCUUGUUGGUCGUCAUUAACCUUGCUGUGUAAACUAAUUCAGUCUUUGCCAAACUGAAUAGCAUAUGAG
rnacentral:lncRNA from 1 species